AGAGUCCGAGUUGUAAUUUGUAGAGGGUGCUUUGGCGUUGGCUGCGGUCUAAGUUCCUUGGAACAGGACGUCACAGAGGGUGAGAAUCCCGUACGUGGCUGCAUGUCUUCGCCGUGUAAAGCCCCUUCGACGAGUCGAGUUGUUUGGGAAUGCAGCUCUAAAUGGGAGGUAAAUUUCUUCUAAAGCUAAAUAUUGGCCAGAGACCGAUAGCGCACAAGUAGAGUGAUCGAAAGAUGAAAAGCACUUUGGAAAGAGAGUUAAACAGCACGUGAAAUUGUUGAAAGGGAAGCGCUUGCAGCCAGACUUGCCUGUAGUUGCUCAUCCAGGCUUUUGCCCGGUGCACUCUUCUAUAGGCAGGCCAGCAUCAGUCCGGGCGGUUGGAAAAAGGCCUCUUUCACGUAUCUUCCUUCGGGAUGACCUUAUAGAGGAGGCGUAAUGCAAUCAGUCCGGAUUGAGGUCCGCGCAUCUGCUAGGAUGCUGGCGUAAUGGCUGUAAGCGGCCCGUCUUGAAACACGGACCAAGGAGUCUAACAUCUAUGCGAGUGUUUGGGUGUCAAGCCCAGGCGCGUAAUGAAAGUGAACGGAGGUGGGAACCCUUUUGGGUGCACCAUCGACCGAUCCUGAUGUCUUCGGAUGGAUUUGAGUAAGAGCAUAGCUGUUGGGACCCGAAAGAUGGUGAACUAUGCCUGAAUAGGGUGAAGCCAGAGGAAACUCUGGUGGAGGCUCGCAGCGGUUCUGACGUGCAAAUCGAUCGUCAAAUUUGGGCAUAGGGGCGAAAGACUAAUCG
rnacentral:rRNA from 1 species